GCAUUGUGGGAAGUAGCCAUGGUCUGAGGCUGGCGCCUCACCUGUCAGCCAGCCGGGCUGCCAAGCUCUCUUCUGGCUGUCGCAUCCUUGGCGAUUGCCACUGUCGCCACCCGGACGGCUGCGGCCACCAUGAUACAUUUCAUCUUGCUCUUCAGUCGACAAGGGAAACUUCGGCUGCAGAAAUGGUACACCACACUCCCUGACAAAGAGAGGAAGAAGAUCACCCGGGAGAUCAUCCAGUCUGUGCUGUCUCGUGGGCACAGGACAAGCAGCUUCAUUGACUGGAAGGAGUUGAAACUUGUUUAUAAAAGGUAUGCUAGUUUAUAUUUUUGCUGUGCAAUAGAAAAUCAAGACAAUGAGCUCUUGACACUAGAGAUUGUACAUCGUUAUGUGGAGUUACUGGACAAAUACUUUGGAAAUGUCUGUGAACUGGAUAUUAUCUUUAAUUUUGAAAAGGCAUAUUUUAUCCUCGAUGAAUUUAUAAUAGGUGGAGAAAUUCAGGAAACAUCCAAGAAAACAGCAGUCAAAGCCAUUGAAGACUCUGAUAUGUUACAGGAGCAGGUCAAGAGUCAAGAGGAUUUCAAGGACUAUAAAGUACCUUUUUAAAAUUGGUGCUAAAGCCAUUCUUCCUGCUCUUUGGAAAUAAGAGACUGAUUAAGUUAAUAAGACAUUAGGCAUGAUUUCCCAGCAACUGUCUUGGCAGUACUUUGAACUGAUUCCUUACUCCUGCCCAUGGAGGGACUCCAUCCUCAGACAAUGGAAGAAUACAUGAACAAGCCCACAUUUUAAGUGUACAGUCUACUUGAAGAUUCGGAGUGCUUCGUGUUUUGAAUCUACAAAUAAGCAACUUUUUGCAUCCAGUCUCUACACAGCUUCUGGCACCAUGCCAAAAAUAACUUAAAGGGAUUCCAUGUUAGCUAGCAAAACUUAAUGUUGUUAGCAUAAUGUAUUUAUAGUUACUAUGUGUCUGUAUUAUACUGUGUAUGAGUACUCAUUGUUGCAUAAUUGCUGCAGAUUGAAUGGUUGCUUGCAGUGUUUUAAGUCCUUGUGAUAUAUUUAAGGUAAUUUCAAAUAUUAGUUACAAUAUAAUGAUUUUUGUUGCCACUUGAUCUUAUACCUGUAGACUGAAAACUACAUUGUACUAACACACAGUUUUGAAUGUAAAGUAUAUUUUAUAUAACUAAUGCUUUUCCUAAAUGUUUUUUAAGAGGUACAUGAAUGCAAAUUUAUGCUAAUAGUUCAGAUUUCAUACAUGAUGCAGACAUUUUUAAUAUGUUCAAUACUACUUUAAUUUCAGGUCAGAUACAGUAUAUCUGACUUUAAUGUCUUGAAUUCAACUUAUUUUUUUCAGAAUUGGGAUAGAACUUCAUAAGUGAUUUUGGUGUCUUAGAAGGUGCUAAAUUGAGGUUUUUACUUUAUUUUCAGUUGAAUAUAAGGGACAUUUCAAUAAGGUUAUGUUUUCUAUAAACUAUAUAUUUAUUAAGCUUUCAGGAGAUCUGGAGAUAAAAUGUAAAAGCAUCUCCUACUAUUACCAAAGUACUAAGAAAGGAACAGCUAGAGCAAUAAUUGUGAUCUCUACUGCUAAUGUAUAUCUCAUGUUCCAAUUAGUCCUUUCGAUCAAGAGACUUCUUCAGAGUGGAAUGUACUAGGCUUCCUUAGGGCAUGUAGUUUCAUUGUACCUUUUAUGGGAGGUGAUUCUAUUCCUUUCCCCUCCUCCUCCCAGGAAAAUAUUGUCUGCUGACCACUGUUAUUGUGACCAUGUCACCUUCAGGCUUCCAAAACAGAAGAUCUGCAUAGUCAGGAUCUUAUUGCGCUCAGACGUGAGAUAGGAAGUGGCUUGUAGCAUUUGUUCUUGGCGCCUGUGUCUGGAGUUUCGUGUGUGCAUUUUCAGUGUUGGUUUCCAGGUCUGAUGUCAUUCAUAACAGAGUUUUUCCUAAGAUGAUAGUGAGCUUGUUUUUGUAUUCUGUGGAUGAUCCCAAAAGGUGGCGCCUUAGAGAAUGUGAUGGCUUGUUGUCUCUGAUUCAUCUCAUCAGGCAUAUUUAAAGGAUGGUGGCAAAACCAGAGCAGAAUAACGGUCAGACACACAGAACAUUCCUCAAUAUAACCAUGUAUUUUAAGGCAAUAAGUCAGUUUACAUAUGAGGUAAUAACUGGGCUUUUAGUAGCUGAUGUAUCUUCAAAAUAACAAUAUGAUUACAGCAGCAGGUUGACAUUUGUCCAACUUUGUUUAGACAGUCUUCAGUUUUUUUCACUAACUUAAAAAAUGAUAAUUUUUUUUUCAAACAUUCUGUAAAACUGAACUUUCUGUAAUUUCAGAGGUUUUCAGGUUCCUUCUCAUUGCUUUUGGAUGAAGGUCUCUUUUGAGCCUCAUUAAAUGUACUGCUAAUAUCCUGAAUAAUAGCAUAUUUGACACUGUCCAGCUUGUACAAGGAUUCUUCCUGUUAAUGUACACAUAGAAAGUCAUAUUUAUGUGGCAUUCUGUGGUAAGUCCAAAGGAUUUGAGGAACAGCUCACAUGAGCUUUAAUGAAAAAAUCAUUAGGUAUAUUUUCUUUAUUAUUUUAAAAUUCUAAGAAGUACCAAGUGAAAGAAAAAAUAAUACUGAAUUUGUAUAAAACUCUCAAAUAAAAUGUUAAAAAAUGUU